AGAAGCUUGAGGCAGGAAACCUGGAAGAAGUCUACUUGCUGCCUUGUUCUCUGGAUCAGUCACAGGCUCACACUGCACUGUCUUAUACAGUUCAAGACGAUCUAGGGAUAGUGCUAGCUAAGGUUGGCUCAGCUCUCCUGCAUCAACUAACAAUCAAGACAAUAGCACACAGUGGCUAACUGGAGAAUGGCCUCAGUCUGACUGCUCUGGUAGAUGGUAGAGUCAUGAUGGCACAUCACCUUGUUGGGAAAAGAACAUUUUG
rnacentral:lncRNA from 1 species